UACAGAGGUCUCAAGCGUUGUUCGGAUUCACUGGGCGUAAAGGGUGCGCAGGCGGCCGUGUGUGUGAGGCGUGAAAGCCCGGGGCUUAACCCCGGAAUUGCACCUCAAACUACACGGCUAGAGCAUUGGAGAGGGUAGCAGAAUUCACGGUGUAGCAGUGAAAUGCGUAGAUAUCGUGAGGAAUACCAGAGGCGAAGGCGGCUACCUGGACAAUUGCUGACGCUCAGGCACGAAAGCGUGGGGAGCAAAAGGG
rnacentral:rRNA from 1 species